rnacentral:rRNA from 1 species
GACGAACGCUGGCGGCGUGCUUAACACAUGCAAGUCGAACGGAAAGGCCCUGCUUUUGUGGGGUGCUCGAGUGGCGAACGGGUGAGUAACACGUGAGUAACCUGCCCUUGACUUUGGGAUAACUUCAGGAAACUGGGGCUAAUACCGGAUAGGAGCUCCUGCUGCAUGUUGGGGGUUGGAAAGUUUCGGCGGUUGGGGAUGGACUCGCGGCUUAUCAGCUUGUUGGUGGGGUAGUGGCUUACCAAGGCUUUGACGGGUAGCCGGCCUGAGAGGGUGACCGGCCACAAUGGGACUGAGAUACGGCCCAGACUCCUACGGGAGGCAGAAGUGGGGAAUAUUGCACAAUGGGCGGAAGCCUGAUGCAGAAACGCCGCGUGCGGGAUGACGGCCUUCGGGUUGUAAACCGCUUUCGCCUGUGACGAAGCGUGAGUGACGGUAAUGGGUAAAGAAGCACCGGCUAACUACGUG